GAUGAACGCUGGCGGCGUGCCUAAUACAUGCAAGUCGAGCGAACGGACGAGAAGCUUGCUUUUCUGAUGUUAGCGGCGGACGGGUGAGUAACACGUGGAUAACCUACCUAUAAGACUGGGAUAACUUCGGGAAACCGGAGCUAAUACCGGAUAAUAUUUUGAGCCGCAUGGUUCAAAAGUGAAAGACGGUCUUGCUGUCACUUAUAGAUGGAUCCGCGCUGCAUUAGCUAGUUGGUAAGGUAACGGCUUACCAAGGCAACGAUGCAUAGCCGACCUGAGAGGGUGAUCGGCCACACUGGAACUGAGACACGGUCCAGACUCCUACGGGAGGCAGCAGUAGGGAAUCUUCCGCAAUGGGCGAAAGCCUGACGGAGCAACGCCGCGUGAGUGAUGAAGGUCUUCGGAUCGUAAAACUCUGUUAUUAGGGAAGAACAUAUGUGUAAGUAACUGUGCACAUCUUGACGGUACCUAAUCAGAAAGCCACGGCUAACUACGU
rnacentral:rRNA from 1 species